AAGUAAGAAGGCGUUUCUUGUCUUCUUCGUCUACUUCUCCUUUAGGCAACACUUGGCCCUUCGCUCUGGGCUCCGUUCAGGGUGUAGACCUUCUGCUCUGAGGAAGUCCUGUCUCUAUACCCUCUGCUCUGAGGAACUGUGACCAUCUGUCAAAAUGCUGAGAAGACCUUCAGCAAGUCUCCAUUCUUUAAAGGGAGGCUGGUCCCUCUGUUCAUCUCAUGGAACCUGGAGAGAUAUUGGAAAGAAAAGACAUAGAGGACCCUGAUACCACCUUGGUCAGUCCUUUCCAACCAACAGAACAAGAACUACCUUUCAGAUCUCCUUCCUGCUGUUUAUUCUGUACAUGUUGGUCUGUUGAAUUACAAAGAAGAAAUCCAUAGGGGCUAGUGAGUUAAAAAGGGCAAGGAUUCUUGCGGCCAAGCCUGAUGACCUGAGUUCAAUACUUAGUCCCCAUGUUGUAGAAUGAGGCAACUGACUUCCAAAAGUUAUUCUCAGACCUUCACAUGUGGCACUGUAUGCUCCCUGUCAGGUACAAUAAAUAAACAAAUAUUUAUAAAAAUGGAGAGCAAGGUCUGGAGAGAUGGUACAAUGGUUAAGAACACUGACUGCUCUACUAGAGGACUUGAGUUCAAUUCCCAGCACCCCACAUGGCAGCUCAUAACUGUCUAUGACUCCAGUUCCAAGGGAUCCAAUGCACUCUUUUGGCCACCUUGGGCACAAGACAUACAGGUGCAUACAUUCAGGCAGAACACCCAAACACAUAAAAUGAAAUAAAAAUUGAGAGAGAGAGAGAGAGAGAGAGAGAGAGAGAGAGAGAGAGAUCACCCUUAGUGUAGUGGCUAUUCCUGGUUGUCAACUUGACAAUAUUUGGAAUGAACUACAAUCCGGAAUUGGAAGGCUCACCAGUGACCCUUAUCUGGAGGCUUGGAGAUCCUUAUCUGGAUCUUGGUUUGAAGAUCUUGAGCCAUAGUGGCUAUGGAUUCCAGAAGAUUGAAUCUCCGAGUUUAAGGAACACACCUUUAAUCUGGGCUACGCCUUUCAUCUGGGAUUAAAGGUGUGGUGGAACACACCUUUAAUCUGGGCUACACCUUCUGCUGGAGACAAUAUAAGGACAUUGGAAGAAGGGAGUCUAGCUCUUGCUCCUGCUCCUUCGCCUGCUUGCUGCGUGAGACUGAGUAACUGCUAGAUCCUUGGACUUCCAUUCACAGCUGUGACUGAACGAUUGUUGGGAAUUGAGCUGCCGACUGUAAGUCAUCAAUAAAUUCCUUUAUUAUCUAGAGACUAUCCAUAAGUUCUGUGACUCUAGAGAACCCUGACUAAUACACUUAGAGUUCAGCUCUGCUACUCCUUGCUUUCCACUAUUUCUCUGCAUGCUGAGGUGACUUCCAAAGUGAAGGAGUGUCAGUGGUCCACAUUAAUCUUUCUGGAUUCUCACUCUUAAAUCAGAACUCUGAUUUUAUUAGCUAUUGUGGUAGUUUAGAAUAGCUCCCCAAGUCUUUGUCACACUUCUCUGGCUUGAGUCUAAUUUAAAUAUCUCUCAUAAGUACCAAUAAAAAGUUUGGUCCUC
rnacentral:lncRNA from 1 species